UGUCUAUGGCAUAGAUGGCACUGAGGCUGGACAACUAGAUGGUACAUGAAUUGAAAACGAGUAGUUAUUUGCUGAUUUCAGUCGACUGAAAUGAGUUAAACUGGUAAGUGCUGCUGUUUUGUGUGUGAAGUUAUUGUACUUGUGCUUCAUAGUUUGGGCGUGAAAUAUAAAUGUAUAUGUAUGUCCUUUUUAAUUUUUCUUCUUGCAUAUAUGUGCAGUAUAUCAUCUACAGUUCAUAUACACCCCACAGUUCAAGGCAGCGGACUUUCCUCUGUCAGAGGAAAGAUUCCAUAAGAAAGUCCUUUCGCUUCUUAUCGAAAUAAAGGAUUUAAUAGAAAUUGCUCUCUAACCUACUGAUGGGGCCACUUUUCAUGUAAAGCCAGCUAACACAGAGAUGGAGUUCAAGGAACUGGAGAGUCGUCUGGUGGAUGAAACAGAGAGCAGCCCUACAAGCACAUUUUAAAAGACGGGGCGGUGUAGAUGCUGUGCACCUGAUCAAGAACUCAAUGGCUGCAACUCUCACAAAUGCCAUGAUGGCCAAGAUGAGCCUAAAGGGGAAAUGUGGGAAACUGCCAUUUUCAGAGUCUCUGCUCUGCAAUGUCAUCUGUGACACUGUUCUCAGCACACACACAAUCACACAACAGGAGGCAAUGGACACGAUGGCUAAAUACCUCAAGUAUGCACCGGAGAGGUUGGGGUGGUGGUGGCCGCAAGAAAUAAGAUUUAUCUUUGACGUUCUUUAUACUCAGCCUGAUGCAAGUUCUUCGAUACCCUGUAAUUGCUGGACAUUUUGUAGUCCUGCUGUUCCAUGUUCUCAGAGAAGAAAU